GAAAUAAGAGCCAAGGCUGCGAAUGGGGUACCAGGGAGGAAGACGGGGCCGUGGGUCAUUUCCUACUGUUGCUACCAUGCCAAUCCUAUGGUGCGGGGAGAGGAGGUGCCUGCAAUUAGAUAUGCUAACACCAGGUGAUGGCAGGGUCCCACAUCCCUGGUGACAACACAGGCAUUCCUGAGGUUUGCCAUGGAAUUCCAGACCCUCAUAACUAUCUUCUGAAUCAAAAUGGAACCCUAUAGGCGGGCACGCUGGCUCACACCUGUAAUCCCAGCACUCUGGGGAGCCGAGAAGGGCAGAUCACUUAAGGUCAGGAGUUCGAGACCAGCCUGGCCAACAUGGUGAAACCCCGUCUCUACUAAAAAUACAAAAAAUUAGCCAGGCAUGGUGGUGGGCGCCUGUAAUCCUAGCUACUUGGGAGGCUGAGGCACGAGAAUCGCUUGAACCCAGGAGGUGGAGGUUGCAGUAAGCUA
rnacentral:lncRNA from 1 species